rnacentral:rRNA from 1 species
GACAGAGGUCCCAAGCGUUAGGCGGAAUCACUGGGCUUAAAGCGUGUGUAGGCGGAUGCCUAAGUACCUUGUGAAAUCCCACGGCUCACCCGUGGAACUGCUUGGUAUACUGGGUGUCUUGAGCCACUUAGGGGCUACCGGAACAAAUGGUGGAGCGGUGAAAUGCGUAGAUAUCGGGAGGAACAUCAGUGGCGAAGGCGGCCUUCUGGUCCAGUACUGACACUCAAGUGCGAAAGCGUGGGAUCAAACGG